rnacentral:rRNA from 1 species
UACGAAGGGUGCAAACGUUGCUCGGAAUUAUUGGGCGUAAAGCGCACGUAGGCGGCUUAGCAAGUUGGAUGUGAAAUCCCUCGGCUCAACCAAGGAAGUGCAUCCAAAACUGCUGAGCUUGAGUACUUAAGAGGAUCGCGGAAUCCUGGUGUAGCGGUGAAAUGCGCAGAUAUCAGGAGGAACACCGGUGGCGAAGGCGGUGGUCUGGGCCGGCACUGACGCUGAGGAGCGAAAGCGUGGGGAGCGAACAGG